rnacentral:rRNA from 1 species
UACGUAGGGUGCGAGCGUUGUCCGGAAUUAUUGGGCGUAAAGAGCUCGUAGGCGGUGUGUCGCGUCGGCCGUGAAAACCUGGGGCUCAACUCUGGGCGUGCGGUCGAUACGGGCAUCACUUGAGUUCGGCAGGGGAGACUGGAAUACUUGGUGUAGCAGUGAAAUGCGUAGAUAUCAAGUGGAACACCAGUGGCGAAGGCGAGUCUCUGGACAUUUCCUGACGCUGAGGCACGAAAGCCAGGGGAGCAAACGGG